GCAGUAGCCGCGGGAAUACGGAGGGUGCAAGCGUUAUCCGGAUUUAUUGGGUUUAAAGGGUCCGUAGGCGGAUCUGUAAGUCAGUGGUGAAAUCUCACAGCUUAACUGUGAAACUGCCAUUGAUACUGCAGGUCUUGAGUAAAUUUGAAGUGGCUGGAAUAAGUAGUGUAGCGGUGAAAUGCAUAGAUAUUACUUAGAACACCAAUUGCGAAGGCAGGUCACUAAGAUUUAACUGACGCUGAUGGACGAAAGCGUGGGGAGCGAACAGGAUUAGAUACCCGCGUAGUCCCUGUCUCUUAUAC
rnacentral:rRNA from 1 species